rnacentral:lncRNA from 1 species
GGAGAUGGACAUGGACAGGGGCUGAAACUGCAGUACCAGCAGAUGGGGAGCUUAAGAAGGAAGCUAGUUCAUGGCACAGCACCCGUAAAGUCCCCAGAAUUGGAGGCACCAGAUUCUUCUGAAAGAAAAGGAGCAAUUCAGCACUUGUCAUGCAGAUAAGAGGUCAACACCCCAGGACGGAGUGAAAACCUAAGGAUUCACAAACCCACCCUUGUGCGAAUCCAGCCGUCUGUGUUCUAGACUGGCAAGGACCAUAUCUGAUUCUGAGAUGCUCAGGAAGGUGUGCUCCCAAUUGGCCCUUGUCCAGACUAGUUUACUUGCUGAGUAUCCCCAGGGCACAGGAACAAUCAUUUGGGGUUGCGGCUUUGUUCAUAGGGUCAUCAAGACAGGAGGAUAUGAGGCAGAAUCACCACACAAGCUAACCUGAUGUACAUAUGACAUUAAUCCAAUAGACUUAGGAAUAAGAUACAGGGGGUUUUCCUGAAUGAUUCGAGUAUAUCCCCAUUCAUAUUAAGAAAACAAAGUAUUGGCCAAGCGUGGUGGCUCACGCCUGUAAUCCCGGCACUUUGGAAGGCCGAGGCCAGUGGAUCACCUGAGAUGGACUCAACGACUCUCUUACCGUCCAGCUCUCAAGUCCCUUCUCUUGUGAAAAUGGAAAAGUUGAACUACAGUUGAGAUAUUAUUCCCAGGUGUUCUUUGGAACACAGGGGAUUUCUCCAAAAGGCACAGAACAAAUUGCCUCCAAACAGCCAAGAUUCCAGCAGAAGCUGGAGUAGCAGACUACUUGGAUCUUCAAAGUACCUGGCCCUGAGUCAGUUAAGGAAGAUCUUUUCUUCUCUUUUGUACAAUCCUAUGAUGAGAGCUGCAAAGUGAACUGACUAAGAGCUUCUGCCUUGAUCAUUGACCUCCCAAUCCUAAUAAUAUGUUCACUGGCCAAACUUCCUAAUCGAUUUGUCUUUUGGAUAUAACGUUCCUCCUACUGUUUGCCUGAUUGAGAAAUCUGCUACAGAACAUGACCGGUUAGCAUUCCCACCAACCCCAGUGCUACACUGACUGUCUUUCGAUGGACUUUGCUCCUUGCUGCCUCUCUGAGGUCCCAGACCUUCAGAGUGACCUUCACAGCUCUGCCUAACUUUCUGUCAUACUUCUAUCAAGAGAGACAGCUAAAUCAAUAUUUUUAAUGUGCUUUGCUGUCGGAAUUCGAUGAUCUGUCACAGUUCUUGCCCAAUACACCCCAUCAUUAUUGUUAAAAUGUUUUUAGCUUUGUUUGUAGAAUUGCUUUAACUGGUUUCAUCUCUGGGAGCUACACUUUGAAAUAUAACUUUAGCAACAUUUUACUAUACUUUUUCACAACCCAGAGCAGUACUAUUUUAUGCUUAGUGGUUAAACUAAUUCCAUAAAUCUUUUGCAACUAUCCUCUAUUCUUUUUCUUGUAAUUUUUACCUGGGAAGGUUUUUACUGAUAAUCAUCCUAUCCUGAGUCAUCCCACAAACCAAUCUGUCUCACUAAUCAUUGCUUCUAACCUACAGACUAAGCAUAACUUCUGCUAAAUGAUCUUUGAUAAGAUGCUAUGACUCUAUAAAGUCUUUGAUAUUCAUGUCUAAAUUUAAUCACUUGUAGAUUUUCAUAGAAUCAAUCUUUCACUUCUACAAUUGGGAGUAUUUAUAAGUUGUUUAUCUUAAACAGUUCCUCUAUCACGCUUUUCACGUUAAAUAAAGCAAUCCCUUCAAAUC